rnacentral:rRNA from 2 species
AUGCAUGUCUAAGCACAGGCCUUAACACGGUGAAGCUGCGAAUGGCUCAUUAGAUCGGCUAUUAUUUAUUAGAUCAUACCUAGUUACUUGGAUAACUGUGGUAAUUCUAGAGCUAAUACAUGCAACACGGCUCCGACCUCCGGGGAAGAGCGAGUUUAUUAGAUCAAAACCAAUCGGGUCUCGGCCCGCCACUUGGUGACUCUGGAUAACUUUGGUCUGAUCGCAUAGCCUCGCGCUGGCGACGUAUCUUUCAAGUGUCCGCCCUAUCAACUUUCGUCGGUACGUGACCUGCCUACCGAGGUUGUUACGGGUAACGGGGAAUCAGGGUUCGAUUCCGGAGAGGGAGCAUGAGAAACGGCUACCACA